rnacentral:rRNA from 1 species
UUUAAUGGCCGCAGUAAUUUAACUGUGCGAAGGUAGCAUAAUCAAUAGUUUUUUAAUUGAAAGCUUGUAUGAAAGGUUGGACGAGAUAAUAUCUGUCUUUAUUAUAAUUAUAUUAGAAUUUAAUUUUUAAGUUAAAAAGCUUAAAUUUUUUUAAAAGACGAGAAGACCCUAUAGAGUUUUAUAAUUUAGAAUUUAUAAUUAUUUUAGAUUAAUUAAUUUUAUAGAUUUAUAUUUAUUUUAUUGGGGUAAUAGAGAGAUUUAUGUAAUUCUUUUUUUUUAUAUUAUUUAUUUAUAUGUGUAGGAUCCUUUAUUGAAGAUUAUAAGAUUAAAUUACCUUAGGGAUAACAGCGUAAUUUUUUUUGAAAGUUCUUAUUGAUAAAAAAGAUUGCGACCUCGAUGUUGGAUUAAAGAUUAAUUUAGGUGCAAAAGUUUAAAUUUUUGGUCUGUUCGACCAUUAAAUCUUUACAUGAUCUGAGUUCAGACCGGUGUGAGCCAGGUCGGUUUCUAUCUUUAUUUAUUUAAAAUAUUUUAGUACGAAAGGACCAAAUAUUUAUUAUAUUAAUUUAUAUUUUGAAUAUUAUU